AACCCAGAAGAGAGGGACAUUCCAAUUUUUUGAGUAAGAAGAAGAAAUAUAUAUAGAAAACAUGGCCAAGACAAGCAACAAAACUACCAUGUUUCUAAGCAUGGUUUUGUUACUCUCUCUUAUUCUUGGUGUUGUGGUAAAGAAGGCAGAGUCUGCGGUAAAUUGUGAUGCAGUUGUGGGAGUGCAGAGCGGAGAGACAUGUUUUUCCAUUGCAAAGGCAUUCAGUUUGAGUACUGAAUUCUUCCUUUCGAUCAAUCCGAAUGUCAAUUGCAAAGCUCUCUUUGUUGGUCAAUGGCUUUGUGUUUCUGGAUCCCCAAAUUAAACUUGGAUAAAAAGAGCAACUUUUUCAUAUGGCAGCUUUCCCAAAUACUUACUUAAAUGAAUGCAUAAUGAAUAAGAAGGAGAUGGAAUUUGAUUUCCUAUCCAUGUUAGGGUUAUGUUUCUGUUAAUUGUCUGGCUAUUGGUUUCAUGUAUCCAUAGCCAUAGCCAUUGCUCUUUGUUGUUGUUCUUUUGAAUUUGAAUAUGAUAAUUUACCUCUUU